UAUAUACCCGGAGGUGCUCUGAACUGGAAUAUGCACUUGGAAUAUAGACCUUAAUUAUACACCUGGAAUAUACACUUACACACAGCUAUACACACACCUGAGGAGGUGCACUGUCUGCAAGGCAAAGAACAGUGAACCUUCAGAAACCAGUUUGCAGCUGCAGGAUGCAGCUGGAGGUCGAGAUCAGUCCACAUUAAUCCAGCUGUUAAUCAGAGUUAAUGAGCUCAGCUGUUACAUCAUCAACAUGUUGACUGUCAGCAUCCAAUCACAGCUCAGCUCCCGUUCUCCUCAGAGUCCAGAACCAGAACCAGAGAACCAGAACCUCAUCAAAGAGCUGCAGAAAAGUUUUGUGUCAUCUUGGAAAAGUUUCAGUCUCAUCAUGAUGGUGAAUAUAAACACAUUAUCAAUCAAUCAAUCAAUCAAUCAAUAAUCAAUCAGUGAUGACAGAUUUAUUGAUCGAUAAAUUCACUGAUUGUGGAUUCAGCUGUGAACAGAAGCUCAGAGCUCAGGAUGAUUUUUCACAUCAGUUUAAUUCUGCUUCACAUAAAAAGCAUCACAUUCAAACUCACAAUAAAUACAACAAACUGUGCGACUGCGUGUACAAGUACAGCAUGUACGAUGUACUGCGUGUACAAGUACAGCAUGUACGAUGUACUGCGUGUACAAGUACAGCAUGUACGAUGUACUGCGUGUACAAGUACAGCAUGUACGAUGUACUGCGUGUACAAG